GAAACCAUAAAGUGAAAACAGCCUCACCUCCGACUGUUACGAACGCCCUGACACUGGAGACUCCUUCCGCAAAACGUUAGCCUACAUAAACAUCUCUUUACAGAAAACAUGACUCAAGGUUACAAGUAUGAAGUCAAAUAAAAUCCAAACACCUUCCUUUAUUCGCAUUCGUACCAGUGUUUCAAAAGAUAAGGCUAAGAUGGGUGCAGCAGGUGGAGUCAGAUCUAAAGACGUGGCCGAAAUACGAAUGUAAACAAACAAACAAACAAACAAACAAACAAAUAAUUCCCGUAUACCACAGUGUGGUUGAAUUCUCAAGGACAGAAGAUGUAGUCAGAAGACGUGGAUUAAUUUUAUUUAAGCGUCCGGCUCUGGGAGUAGUUCUCGCUGUAGCAUAAACAACAGGGUUCUAUGUCAAACAUUUAUCUCGUGGUUCCUUCAGUGGGCGGAGUUUUAGAGGUAAAUUGUUAAAUUUAUUUAACAAAUAUAGCCUAAUAAUUUAUUUCGUUAAUUUUUUGCUACGCAUGCGCAGUUGGAGUGACGGCACCUGUGGUUGUUACGUCACGCUCAUAUUCAAGUUUUUGUUUAUUGUUGUUUGUUUUUUUUAAAUAAAAACGGUCUGAGGCCGGACAGAAAUACAGCUCAUUCCUCACGGUACCGAAUAACGAGCGAAUUGGGGAUGGAUCCGAAGCAGCCGCGGGAUUUUCCGCCCGUUCACGAGCCGCCGAACCCCGAGAGAAACUUCCAGACGCCGCGGUUCUCGGAUCAGCGUGACGGUCCGAAGCCGUCGCCGAGUACGAGCACGAGCACGCGCACUCCGGUAGCGGGGCAGUUCGAGCCACUGGAGUUCUACGGUGCACGCGCAGAGGAGCCGCAGGGCGCGCGCAGCGAGACGGACGACGACGUGUGCGAGCUUAACAUCAAACUUAAAACGCUGGAGCUGGAACAGCUGAUAGGAUCCGAGGACCCGAGAUAGCAGACGAAAGCGGUGCAAAAACUGUGAAACUAAUUUUUCUGGAGUUAAUGUGCAGUGAAACAGAGACGGGAUUAUUUCAGGAGAGGCGGUCAAUUAAAAGAAAUGUGAAUAAAAGUGUUAUUGUGGCAUAAAAUUUGUAAUUACUUCCAAGUAG